GGACCAUCUAUAUACAGCCUCCAAAACUAGAUAAGAUUGAUGAAACUAAGAAGUGCAUGCUGACAGGAACUGGAUAUAGAUGUCUCCUGAGAGACACAGCCAGUGCAUGUCAAAUACAGAGGCCAAUGCUAGCAGCUAAUCUUUGAACUGAGAAUGAGACCCCAUUGGAGGAACUAGAGAACAUAUUGAAAGAGCUGAAGGGAUUUGCAAUCCAAUAAGAACAAUGCCAACCAACCAGAGCUCCCAGGGACUAAACCACUACCCAAAGACUAUACAUGGAUUGACCCAUGGCUCCAGCUGCAUAUGUAGCAGAAGAUGGCCUUCUUUGGCACCAAAGGAAGGAAAAAUCCUUUGGUUCUUCCUAGGUUGGACCCCCAGUGUAGGGAAAUGUUGGGUAGGAAUGGAAGGUCGCUGGAGAAAGAAACACCUUUAUAGAAAGGAAGUGGGAGGGCAUAAAUGUUUUAUGGACAGGAAACCAGGAAAAGGAAUAACAUUUGAAAUGUAAAUAAAACAUAUAUCCAAUAACAUUAAAAAUAAAAACCUAGAAUAUUCAUGCAUUUUCACAA
rnacentral:lncRNA from 1 species